rnacentral:rRNA from 1 species
UGGGGAAUAUUGCACAAUGGGCGAAAGCCUGAUGCAGCGACGCCGCGUGAGCGAAGAAGUAUUUCGGUAUGUAAAGCUCUAUCAGCAGGGAAGAUAAUGACGGUACCUGACUAAGAAGCACCGGCUAAAUACGUGCCAGCAGCCGCGGUAAUACGUAUGGUGCAAGCGUUAUCCGGAUUUACUGGGUGUAAAGGGUGCGUAGACGGGAAAGCAAGUUAGCUGUGAAAUCCCUCGGCUCAACCGAGGAACUGCAACUAAAACUACUAUUCUUGAGUGCUGGAGGGGAAAGUGGAAUUCCCAGUGUAGCGGUGAAAUGCGUAGAUAUUAGGAGGAACACCAGUGGCGAAGGCGACUUUCUGGACAGUAACUGACGUUGAGGCACGAAAGUGUGGGGAGCAAACAGGAUUAGAUACCCUGGUAGUCCACACCGUAAACGAUGGAUACUAGGUGUAGGGAAUAUUAAGUUCUCUGUGCCGUCGCAAACGCAGUAAGUAUCCCACCUGGGGAGUACGACCGCAAGGUUGAAACUCAAAGGAAUUGACGGGGGCCCGCACAAGCAGUGGAGUAUGUGGUUUAAUUCGAAGCAACGCGAAGAACCUUACCAGGUCUUGACAUCCCGAUGACCGCCUUAGAGAUAAGGCUUUUCUUCGGAACAUCGGUGACAGGUGGUGCAUGGUUGUCGUCAGCUCGUGUCGUGAGAUGUUGGGUUAAGUCCCGCAACGAGCGCAACCCUUACGGUUAGUUGAUACGCAAGAUCACUCUAGCCGGACUGCCGUUGACAAAACGGAGGAAGGUGGGGACGACGUCAAAUCAUCAUGCCCCUUAUGACCUGGGCUACACACGUACUACAAUGGCAGUCAUACAGAGGGAAGCAAAACCGCGAGGUGGAGCAAAUCCCUAAAAGCUGUCCCAGUUCAGAUUGCAGGCUGCAACCCGCCUGCAUGAAGUCGGAAUUGCUAGUAAUCGCGGAUCAGCAUGCCGCGGUGAAUACGUUCCC